GAUGAACGCUGGCGGCGUGCCUAAUACAUGCAAGUCGAGCGAACAGAUGAGGAGCUUGCUCCUCUGACGUUAGCGGCGGACGGGUGAGUAACACGUGGAUAACCUACCUAUAAGACUGGGAUAACUUCGGGAAACCGGAGCUAAUACCGGAUAAUAUAUUGAACCGCAUGGUUCAAUAGUGAAAGACGGUUUUGCUGUCACUUAUAGAUGGAUCCGCGCCGCAUUAGCUAGUUGGUAAGGUAACGGCUUACCAAGGCAACGAUGCGUAGCCGACCUGAGAGGGUGAUCGGCCACACUGGAACUGAGACACGGUCCAGACUCCUACGGGAGGCAGCAGUAGGGAAUCUUCCGCAAUGGGCGAAAGCCUGACGGAGCAACGCCGCGUGAGUGAUGAAGGUCUUCGGAUCGUAAAACUCUGUUAUUAGGGAAGAACAAAUGUGUAAGUAACUAUGCACGUCUUGACGGUACCUAAUCAGAAAGCCACGGCUAACUA
rnacentral:rRNA from 1 species